GGGCCUGUAGCUCAGCUGGUUAGAGCGCACGCCUGAUAAGCGUGAGGUCGAUGGUUCGAGUCCACCCAGGCCCA
rnacentral:tRNA from 1 species